ensembl:lncRNA
UGAGGAUCGUAGAAUAACCUUUGUUGAACUCUUAAUUUUUAGAGUGUACAAACUGUACACAUUCACACUGCCCUGAUUUGGCCUGCCUGUCUGUCUAUCCUGUCUUCCUAUCUGUGUGUCUGUCUGUCUUUCUGCCUGCCUGUCUGUCUGUCUGUCAGUUGGCGGAUAUGUGGGCUCAGUACUACAGACAGUGUUUCCAGACCAUUACCAACGGCCCACAGAACCCCGCCUUUGCCUUCACUCAGAAGGGGAGAACAGUGAGGGCAGCUACGUUGGACAGUGAGAGUUUCAGUAAGAUCCAAGUGGAAAGGACAGCUCCUCCAGAGAAGGGGCAGAGCCAGAUACCACCACAGCGUUCGAGCUCCGACUCUGGGGAACGAAGGUCGGUCUCUCCCUCUCUCUCCUCAACCUCAGUCCAUAACUCCCUCCCGUCCCGCCCUGCCAGGAAAGAGGCAUGGACACAUGCAACAGGGGACCCGGCACUGGGGGUCACAACGACACCCAAGGACAUGGUGGAGCUGCCUCACAUCGGCAGUGGAGAAGGAAGUGAUGGGGAGCUCCCGCUGCAGGUGGAGCGGUUAAGGGCGGAGCAGUUCCGUCAGGACAUGACCCACUCAUCUAGGCUGGAAGGCCAGAUCAACCAGCGCAUAGCCACCCAGUCUAACCUCAUGCACCUAGGGCUGCCAUUCAACGGUGUGACCACCUACAGCCAGAGUUACACACACUGGGACAACCCGUCCACACUGAGAGGCCCGCAGUGCAUCCUGCCUGAAGCCACACUCAACUGGAGGGCCUGGGUGUCAGAGUACCAGGACCGGUACCAGGGCCCUGAUCGCUACGUCCCUGGGCAGAGGAAGCCCCCUAGCGGCCUGAAGGAGCCCUGCACCGCCGAGUACCAGCCUGGUGCCCACACCGCAGACCAGACCCGAGGACACAUCUGCUCGGAGUAUCAGAGGCACUUCACUAAGAAGAACUACCCUGGCCUGUCCAGACCCAAGACCAGCCCUGCGUACAGACAGAGACAACUGACCUAA